CGUUUACUUUUUUCUCUCGUGUACGUGUGUGUGAUAGCAUCCUGCGUCAUGUUUGUACGUAUUUCGGAUUAACUUCAAUCUUCAAAACCUUAUACGCACGUAAUUGUUGCCAGCUUAGCCGCUUAAUUACGACGCAUUUAUUACUUCCCGUACGUUUUUCGUCUUUGUUCUUCUUCUUUGAUGACUGGCUGACGGCUGGUUCCUGGCACCCCACAAUUUUUGGUGGCUGGUUCGUGACAUACCUCAACUUUUACCUGGCGGAAGCACGAACGUCAAUAAAGGUUUUUGUCACAGACAUUCGAUCGAUCGACGCAGUGUGCUUGAAACGAAAUGCAUUCCGUUCGAGACGAAGCACGCUCGCGGUGCUUUUAC